rnacentral:rRNA from 1 species
UGGGGAAUAUUGCACAAUGGGCGCAAGCCUGAUGCAGCCAUGCCGCGUGUGUGAAGAAGGCCUUCGGGUUGUAAAGUACUUUCAGCGGGGAGGAAGGGAGUAAAGUUAAUACCUUUGCUCAUUGACGUUACCCGCAGAAGAAGCACCGGCUAACUCCGUGCCAGCAGCCGCGGUAAUACGGAGGGUGCAAGCGUUAAUCGGAAUUACUGGGCGUAAAGCGCACGCAGGCGGUUUGUUAAGUCAGAUGUGAAAUCCCCGGGCUCAACCUGGGAACUGCAUCUGAGACUGGCAAGCUUGAGUCUCGUAGAGGGGGGUAGAAUUCCAGGUGUAGCGGUGAAAUGCGUAGAGAUCUGGAGGAAUACCGGUGGCGAAGGCGGCCCCCUGGACGAAGACUGACGCUCAGGUGCGAAAGCGUGGGGAGCAAACAGG